rnacentral:rRNA from 1 species
AUUGAACGCUGGCGGCAGGCCUAACACAUGCAAGUCGAACGAGUGGCGGACGGGUGAGUAAUGUCUGGGAAACUGCCCGAUGGAGGGGGAUAACUACUGGAAACGGUGGCUAAUACCGCAUACCAUCGGAUGUGCCCAGAUGGGAUUAGCUAGUAGGUGGGGUAAAGGCUCACCUAGGCGAAGAUCCCGAGCUGGUCUGAGAGGAUGACCAGCCACACGGGAACUGAGACACGGUCCAGACUCCACAGUGAGGGAGCAGUGGGGAAUAUUGCACAAGGGGCGAAAGCCUGAUGCAGCCAUGCCGCGUGUAUGAAGAAGGCCUUCGGGUUGUAAAGUACGUUCAGCUGGGAGGCGUUACCCGCAGAAGAAGCACCGGCUAACUCCGUGCCAGCAGCCGCGGUAAUUC